UACGUAGGGUGCGAGCGUUAAUCGGAAUUACUGGGCGUAAAGCGUGCGCAGGCGGUUCGCCAAGUCAGGUGUGAAAUCCCCGGGCUUAACCUGGGAAUUGCGCUUGAAACUAGCGGGCUUGAGUGUGGCAGAGGGGGGUGGAAUUCCGCGUGUAGCAGUGAAAUGCGUAGAGAUGCGGAGGAACACCGAUGGCGAAGGCAGCCCCCUGGGCUAACACUGACGCUCAGGCACGAAAGCGUGGGGAGCAAACAGG
rnacentral:rRNA from 1 species